rnacentral:lncRNA from 1 species
GAACAAAUAGGUGGUCUUUCCGGAAAUGUUAAACGAUUCGUGGUCAAGACGGAGAAUGUGGCGACGAGUGACUUCCUGAUCCAGAAGAAAGUCACGCCAAAAUAGGGACGAUGGCAGACAAACCAGCUGGGAUCAGGAUUUUACACUAAACAAAAGAGAGUGCGAACAUUAUUAAAGUCUCAGACAAGCAAGUGCGGAACCCCAAUCACGAGGGGGAAAAGGACACCCAUUAAUGGAGGAAAUAGCCCUAUAUUCUAUUUAUUCUCUUACGAGAUUUGGAGGACAAAGAAUAGCACGCUUCUCUUGCCUCUAGGAAGAAUAGAAGGAACCUAUUCUCUUACACAAUCAGCUGUGCACAAAGAAGUUCCUACUUAUAUUGAGAGUGACCCCGGCGAGAGACCCUCUUCAUCUAUUGCUCGGGAGAUACCACAGAACACUUAAGCGAGACCUUACCUCUUAUUGACUUGAACAAACUAACUCCCGUCUUUGGUGAUCUGUACCUCGAAACACACCUUAGACAAGCAAAUUGAAGUUUCAUUGAAUGAAUGAAAAUCAUAAUCUGAAUAAGAGUAUGAUACUAGACGACUAGAGAAGAGAGAGGCAGGAAAGCCAGAUCGGACUGCUUAGAGGAGAUAAGGGACUUAUCCUUCUAUUCUAAGAAACCAACCAAAAGGAAAUAGUUCACCUUGGCAGAGUGACCUGUGGAAAGAUCGAUCUCUGGAUCAUAUGAAAUGCAGUUCAGUGGAAUUCAUGUGAAAAUAGAAAUCUGAAAACAAAGAAAUCAGAGAANNNNN